UAGAUUCGUGUGGUUUUCAAGAUGACCUGGCCAAUACUUCAUUUUGCAAGACAAGCAACUGGGGCCCACAGGAGCAGAGGGUCCAUUAAAGCAGAGACAAUGUGUCCCCAGUAAGUAGCACAGUACUUGACACAUGCUGUUCCCAUCAACGUUAAUGGUAAUAAUAAUAAAAUGAAAACAACAACACUGAACAACAGCAUCUAUGAGUGCUUACCACAGGCCAGGCUGUAAGAAGAAGCUACCACAGCCACAAUGCCUCUCUUCUAAGUCAUGAAGGAGUAUCUUGGGAGGCUGGAGUAUUCAUUACCAAAUUUUGUUGAUUCUACUUUCAAAGUCCUUUGUAAAUUUCUCCACUUAUUUCUACUCUCCCUGCCACCAUCUUUUUUUGCUGGAGUAAUACAGAAGACAUUUUCAGUUCUCAACGAUUUGGUUUGAUCUCUUAGUAGGCAUGCUGUUUAACUUAUCUAUUAAAGGUGUUAAAAUUUCAUUGACCAUUUUUAUUU